GCGGAUAUAGUUUAGGGGUAAAACAUUACCUUGCCAAGGUAGGAUCAUGGGUUCAAAUCCCAUUAUCCGCU
rnacentral:tRNA from 1 species